rnacentral:rRNA from 1 species
GGAUAACCUGCCUCAAGGCUGGGGAUAACAUUUGGAAACAGAUGCUAAUACCGAAUAAAACUUAGUAUCGCAUGAUACAAAGUUGAAAGGCGCUACGGCGUCACCUAGAGAUGGGUCCGCGGUGCAUUAGUUAGUUGGUGGGGUAAAGGCCUACCAAGACAAUGAUGCAUAGCCGAGUUGAGAGACUGAUCGGCCACAUUGGGACUGAGACACGGCCCAAACUCCUACGGGAGGCUGCAGUAGGGAAUCUUCCACAAUGGGCGAAAGCCUGAUGGAGCAACGCCGCGUGUGUGAUGAAGGCUUUAGGGUCGUAAAGCACUGUUGUAUGGGAAGAAAUGCUAGAAUAGGGAAUGAUUCUAGUUCGACGGUACCAUACCAGAAAGGGACGGCUAAAUACGUGCCAGCAGCCGCGGUAAUACGUAUGUCCCGAGCGUUAUCCGGAUUUAUUGGGCGUAAAGCGAGCGCAGACGGUUGAUUAAGUCUGAUGUGAAAGCCCGGAGCUCAACUCCGGAAUGGCAUUGGAAACUGGUUAACUUGAGUGUUGUAGAGGUAAGUGGAACUCCAUGUGUAGCGGUGGAAUGCGUAGAUAUAUGGAAGAACACCAGUGGCGAAGGCGGCUUACUGGACAACAACUGACGUUGAGGCUCGAAA